rnacentral:rRNA from 1 species
UCUUUUCCUUUUUUUCCCUCCUCCUCUUUCCUCCUUCCUUUCCUUUCUUUAUCCUUAUUUAUUUUUUUUAAAGGGAGCGUAGGCCGUUUGGUAAGCGUGUUGUGAAAUGUCGGGGCUCAACCUGGGCAUUGCAGCGCGAACUGCCAGACUUGAGUGCGCAGGAAGUAGGCGGAAUUCGUCGUGUAGCGGUGAAAUGCUUAGAUAUGACGAAGAACUCCGAUUGCGAAGGAAGAAUGAUGUAGAGAAAAGGAGGAGGAAGAGAGAAAGAGGGGGGAUAGAAAAGG